GUGGGGCUCGAACCCACGGAUCGUGAGAUCGUGACCUGAGCUGAAGUCGGACGUUUACCCGACAGAGCCACCCAGGCGCCCCGUGUGAUUGUAUUUACACAGCCUGUGGGUGCUGGAGAGGACGGUGUACCCACUGGAGCAGAAAGACAUUGUACAGGUGAGAACAUUUGUAACAUUGUAAAGUUUCAUGUGCUUGCACGCGUGUUUUCAGUUACAUUAAAUACCGUUAGUGAAAUCUUUAACAUUUUUGUGUGCCCAAAGGGUUUUUCUGGACAAAAUUCAAGCGCAAGGGAGUCUCUUGUUUUGUUUCAAUCACCUGUAGUUGCGGGGCGGAACCCUGCCUCCUGAGGGCCCCUCCCCAUCCAGAGCCUCUGCUGUGUCUGCAGCGCGGGUGGCGGUCCCUGUGUCCACACGUGAGUCCGGGGGCGCUGGGCCUGGGAAUCUGCAUGUGCUCCAGGAGAGGCCCGGGAUCUCCCCCCACGGCUGUGGGGCAGCUCAGCUCCCUGGGGCGUCGCCAUGACCCCUGCCCGGGGCGCACCUCUGCCAGGACCCCUGUGUCCAGCCGGCAGGAACCUGCUGUCACGCCAGGGACGUUGAGGGACUGCGGGGCUGAAUCGGGGUCGAGAUGCUCAGCUCCCUGGCCGGGGCUUUUGACAAAGGCUAAGCUCCCCCAGAGGGGCCGUGCUCCCUGGUGGCUCCUCCCAGGCUGUGCGGUCCACACGGCCCUCCGGCCCCUCACAGGGUGCGCAGGGCUGGGCAGGGGUUCCUUCUGCCUCAUCUGCUCCCCGGGGUAUCCCUCCUCCCAGACUCCGUCCCUGUUGUCUGCCUGUCUUCGUCUUCCAGAGAAGGGGACUUGGCCUUCUCGUCCUCGAGGGCAGCCGAGUACGUGGCCGGGAGAGGCCGCCAGAUGGUGGCGUCGGGACCUGGGGCUCUCUGUCCAGGCGUAGAAAUGAGCAGGCCACGGUCAUCAGACGCGUCUCACUGCCCUCCCGUCGGGCAGAGGGGCCUGCACCGCGCCCGCCGGGGCCCCGGCGUGGUCUGGGGAGAGGGCUUCCUUCCCCUCCAGGGCCCAUGCCGCCGUCCCCACCCGCCUGGGCGCUGCUCACCGACGGCUGCCGGCCUAAGGAGCUUCACGGGCAGCCGAGGACUCAGUGGCCAGCCGUGUGGCCCAAAGCGCCCUCCAAGAGCCCUCACCUCGCAGGCCUUCCUUCCUUCCGCGCCCCGAGGACGGGAUAGGAAGGAGCCGCCCAAGUGGAAGGAAGGAAGCGUUUCUCCUCCUUCCUGGAAGCGGUGCUGGUGGUGAGCGCACAUCGCUGACCAGCCCCCUCCUCUGCCUGACGCCCCUGCCCCCCCAAGUGCAGGGGGAGCCCCAGCAGGUGGGUGGACGGCCCCUCGCGGCUGCACCUGGCUGGCCCCAUCGCGCCUUGCGGAUCCCAGAGGGCGGGGAUGCCCUGUUCUGUCCCAGUUACCACCUGGCCCCAAGGCUCGCUAAGGAGUUGUUGAGUGAGUCAGGGAAGGAAAACCCCAGGUCCGGAAGAGGAAAAGCCAGAGGCUGGGAAGAGAGAUUUGCAACACAGAAACGGAGCUCCCCUGAGGCAGUUACAAAAUAGCAGGGAGGAAACCAGGGGGGGCUGGACAGGCACCUCACGCAGAGGAAGCCCGAAGGGCACAGACCUCGUGAGGACGAGCCCAGCCCCGUGGAGAUCAGGGAGGGGACAGCCCCCAGGCGGGCAAAGAGACCGUGGGGACCACACGGGGAAGCCACGGGGACCUGCACACCCGGAUGCAAACGGGUGACGGUUUGGGAGAUGGUGCGACGCUGUGUCCCCUGGAGGGCGGGGGCCCUUGACCGGGCGUCUUUGCUCCCAGCUUGACCCUGCAGAGACCGGGGUGCGUGUGCGGCAAAACGGUCCUCGUGGCCACCUCGUUCCUCACAGCUGGAAGCGGAAACGGCCCUCGCGGCCCCCCGAGAACGGAGACGCGGGCUGGCAGAAGAACGGGGUGCAGAGGGGCCAGGACCGGUUGGGGUGCGCGGGCCCUGGCGCGCCCCAGGUGGCUGAGACGGCAGGCCUCCCGCGGCCUCCCGCGGCCCCGCCCUGCCUGAGGCCACUGCAGCAUCUCCGGGACGCAAGGAGAGCGGGGGACGCUGAGCCGUCAUUCCUGGGCAGGGGACAGCACGGGCACGUCGGAUUCCCAGAUCCCGGGACGGGAACUUCCCAGACAGUGUCGUCAGCCACGCUGCGGCAUGCUGGCACCGAGCUGGCAAACGUCUCACGGGGAGUUUAAAUAUGUUUCGAUAGAAUAAAGCGAUUUAAGUCCA